rnacentral:lncRNA from 1 species
AUGCCACUCCAAAAAUGUGCCUCUAGCGCCCCUCCCCCCAGCCAGCCCGCCGCGCGCUCCUACCUGCGUCCGCCAGGCACCCCACGAGAAGCAGCGGCACCACCACCCGGAGGAGGGCUUUGGGCCCCUCGGACAUGCAUCUGCCGUUGCGGGGCCUCUGGUUUUCCGGAAGCUCCCAACCCAGAAGCUCCUGAGAGGCCGGCGCGACCACGUGAGGACAGAGUGGGCAGAAAAACUCGAGGGCGCUGGCAGAAGGGUUCCUCAUGGCCACAUCUGCGUUUUCUAAAUCUUCAGAUCCCUCAAUGUUGGCAUGAAGUAGUUGGUGUCCCCUUUUCAGACAGAAGCAGAUUCCAGUUAGUCCGCUCCGACUUCCAACGGCCGACUGCUCUGCCCACAGCAGAGGGCUCUGGUUGGAAAGCUGGGGCCGGGCACGCCCACAGCCGGUCACCCGGGAGUGCGUGUGUGAGUCACGCCCAACUGGGCAGGGCGUGUCUCUGCCGACUGACGUACCGAGGCCGCUCCAGCGCGGGAAGGGCGCCCAGCUUCGAGUUGCGAACUUUCACAGAUACGUAUGGACCUCACAUUAUGAACAUGCAAACAAAUCGCAGAAGUAGCUUACGUGUCUGCCAGACAUUGUCACAGUUGUGAUGUUGUGUGCUUACUGUACAGUGUGAUAGUGUAUAGUAAGCAGUGCAGUGCUCAACCAGAGCCCAUGCCAGGUGUGGUGCUGCAUGCCUGUAAUCCCAGCACUCAGGAGGCUGAGGCAGAAGGAUCUCAACAAGUUCAAGUCUACCCUGAACUACAAAGCAAAAGUUCCUCUCAAAAAAUCAUCAUCAUCAUCAUCUUCUUCUUCUUCAGAGCCCAGGAUGUCCAGAAGCGAGACGAAAAGCAGUGGUGAUGCAGAGGGGACUUCUAGGAAGCAGCAAUGCAAUAUGCACUGUAUAUUUUUGUCAAAGGUGUAUAAGACUCACUUUGUCAUACUUAUGAAUGAAUCCGACUUACAUUCUCCUGGAUUUGAACUCGUUCAUAAGUUGGGGACUCACUCUACUCUUUUUGUUCAGUAGUGAGGAUUGAACCCAGGGCCUUGUGCAUGCUAGGAAAAUGUUCUAUCACUGAGAUACAUCCCAGCCUUUUAAAAAUUUGACUUUGCCAGGGCCUCAGUAACUUUUCCAGGCUAUCCUUGAAUUUGCCGUUCUCCUGUCUCAGCGUCGUUAACUAGCUGGGAUUACAGGUGUUACACACCAUGCCUACUGCAAACAAAUCGCAGAAGUAGCUUACGUGUCUGCCAGACAUUGUCACAGUUGUGAUGUUGUGUGCUUACUGUACAGUGUGAUAGUGUAUAGUAAGCAGGGCAGGUGUGGUGCAGCAUGCAUGUAAUCCCAGCACUCAGGAGGCUGAGGCAGAAGGAUCUCAACAAGUUCAAGUCUACCCUGAACUACAAAGCAAAAGUUCCUCUCAAAAAAUCAUCAUCAUCAUCAUCUUCUUCUUCUUCAGAGCCCAGGAUGUCCAGAAGCGAGACGAAAAGCAGUGGUGAUGCAGAGGGGACUUCUAGGAAGCAGCAAUGCAAUAUGCACUGUAUAUUUUUGUCAAAGGUGUAUAAGACUCACUUUGUCAUACUUAUGAAUGAAUCCGACUUACAUUCUCCUGGAUUUGAACUCGUUCAUAAGUUGGGGACUCACUCUACUCUUUUUGUUCAGUAGUGAGGAUUGAACCCAGGGCCUUGUGCAUGCUAGGAAAAUGUUCUAUCACUGAGAUACAUCCCAGCCUUUUAAAAAUUUGACUUUGCCAGGGCCUCAGUAACUUUUCCAGGCUAUCCUUGAAUUUGCCGUUCUCCUGUCUCAGCGUCGUUAACUAGCUGGGAUUACAGGUGUUACACACCAUGCCUACUUAUAUAGUCUUACUCCUAAAAAAUGUCAGUGUCAGGAAAGACAGACCGGAAAGCUGUUCCAGAUCAAAGAGACAGGGCAACUAAAUACAAAGCAUUAUCUUUGAUUAAAUCCUGGAUGAUAAAAAAAAAAAUCAGCAUACAUGACAGUAUCAAGACAGUAAAAUUUAUAUAUGAAUCAUAUGAUACUUAGUCAUAUGAUCCAUAUUAUAACAGUGUUAAAUUUCCAGAAUGUGAUAAUUAUAUGAUGGUUAUUAUAAAAGAAUGUCCUUGUUCUUAAAAAUGUUCACUCACAUAUUUAAGAUGAAGGAUAAUGUAUUUAACCAAUGCUAAAAUGUUGCAGCACAAAAAGAAUUGUACAAGAGCCAAGCACAGUGGUGCAUAUCUGUAAUUUCAGCACCUUGGGAAGCCGAGGUGGGAGGAUUCCAAGUUCAACACUAGCUGGGCAAUUUAGGAAAAUCCUGUCUCAGAAUAAAAAAGGCCCAGUGUGAAGGUCCUGGAUUCAGUCCCUCAUACUGAGAAAAAUUACAGUUGUAUAUAGAGAGCACAGGACUUAUAAGGGUCACCAUAGUAUCACUCCAACUAUUUUUGAGAGAUGUGUUUUUUUCUGAAACUAACAAACACAUAAACAAUUAAAUGUAAUAUGUGAUUGGAUCUCAGUCCAGAAAGUAUAUUAGUCAGAUAACUGGCAAAAUUUGCACAUUAGUUUAUAGAAUUAUACAACCGUUAAUUUUUUAUCUUAAUUUUAUUAUAGUUAUAUGAGAUGUCAAUAUUUGGGAAAGUUAGGUGAAGGACAUAAAGGAAUUCUUUAUACUUUUUGAAUCUGAAGACAUUUAGUAUUGAAAAGUGAAAAAUAAAUGUUCAGUAGGACUUCUAGAUAUUUUCCUCCAGACUAGGGGUUAGAAAUAAGAGUGACAGAGCUGGAGUUCUAACACCUAGUCCAGUACCUUCCACUAUAACCCAUCAUCACAGACGCUGUUUCAGUGUGAGAGCUUCUCAUGAAAUUGUUCUGAAAUAUAAGUUGAAAUGUUUCCUGUAUGUUACACAAACACAGGUUGUGUGCACGUUCAUGUGUAUGUGUGUAGCUGUAACUCCUCUCAAGUGAUAUCUAAGGGACUGUAGAAUCUUCCUAACAUGGGUCAGGUUUCUACCCUGUGCUUCCCUAUUGUUGAACAGUGAUGGGCUUUUCCACACACAGCCCUUCCCAGACCUGCCUGCCCUCUGGAGUCCCCUGCAGAUCUGUUAGGGACGCCAAGGCCCAGGCCACAUCCCAGAAGAAUUCAGUCACAAGCUCUGGACAUGAGACCCGGGCAUUAGUGCUCUUUAACCCCUGGGUAACUCCAACCUCCAGGCAGCCUGGAGACCCCGCUUGCACACACACUGGAGCCUGGAAGCCUGGAGACUGGAGGCCGGGCUCAUGCUGUGCGGCAGGAACGCUGGAGAAGAGGAUCUGUCUUUGGCAAUGACCUCUAAGGGUCUUGGGCUCUGUGACUGCAGUGGCAGCAGUUUGCAAACAAUGCAUGCUUUCAGCAUUGUCAAAUUUGUCUUUUCCCCAGAAAGUUACAAAUAUUAGACAUUUUCCACUGAAUAUAACUGAAAAUAAAUCCAUACAAAUGAUGCCUAGAAUGAUUUCUAACAAAUAGUGCAAUGGAAGUACUUUUAUGACAAAAAAUGUUAGACUCUAAUUUGUUUCCACGCUUAUUUUCCCCCAAUUUUUGAUCAUCCUGCCUCAGCCUUCGGAGUGCUGUGACUAUAGGAGUUCACCACCACACCUGGUUUAAGUCUCUAUGAUUCUGUGUCACAUUAAAACCCAAUUUUUCAUUUGCAAUUUUAAAAAUAAUCCAAAUAUAUAAAUAAUGCAGGAAGAGUUAAAUCUGAUCUCCAGGCUAGAAUUUUUCUUUUAUUGUGUGGAGCAUUGGACCCACAGCCUUUGCCCCGAACUAGAUCCCUGAACUAGAACACCAAACCACAUUCUCAAAUAUUUUCUAUUUUGAGAAAGGGCCUCACUGAGUCAUUGAUUGAGUCAUCCUCUUGGCUCUGCUUUCCAGAGUGCUGGGGUUAUAAGAGUGUAUACUAACCUGCCCAGCUCAGCAUAGAAUUUUUUCCAAAAUUUAAAAUGAACAGGUCAUUUUCAACUGCAAGUUAUAAAAGAACAUAUUUUUGUUUCAACAUUAAAAUUUCAAAAUUUCUAAAAAAAAAAAAAAAAUUUCAAAAUUUCUCCUAAAAUUAGUAAUAACAAAUAAAAGUUCAUUAAAAUACCAAUUUUAAAAUAGGAUGUGCAAACUGUCAUUAUUUUAAAUGCUUUUAAAAACAUAAUAAAUAUUGAUGAACUGUAAAUUAUGUAGUACUAGUUUUCUUUAAUAAAGGGAAAAGCAAUAAACUAGGUUUGGUGGCACAUGCCUGUAAUCCCAGCACUUGGGAGGCUGGGGCAGGAGAAAUGCUGUGAGUUUGAGGCCAGCCUGCACUACGUAGUGAGCUCAAGGUCAGCCUGGACUACGUAAGGGACCCUUCCUCAAAAAAUACAAACACGGGGUUUCCCG